GACGAACGCUGGCGGCGUGCCUAACACAUGCAAGUCGAGCGAAUGAAGUUCCUUCGGGAAUGGAUUUAGCGGCGGACGGGUGAGUAACACGUGGGCAACCUGCCUCAUAGAGGGGAAUAGCCUUCCGAAAGGGAGAUUAAUACCGCAUAAGAUUGUAGUAUCGCAUGAUACAGCAAUUAAAGGAGCAAUCCGCUAUGAGAUGGGCCCGCGGCGCAUUAGCUAGUUGGUGAGGUAACGGCGCACCAAGGCGACGAAGCGUAGCCGACCUGAGAGGGUGAUCGGCCACAUUGGGACUGAGACACGGCCCAGACUCCUACGGGAGGCAGCAGUGGGGAAUAUUGCACAAUGGGGGAAACCCUGAUGCAGCAACGCCGCGUGAGUGAUGACGGCCUUCGGGUUGUAAAGCUCUGUCUUCAGGGACGAUAAUGACGGUACCUGAGGAGGAAGCCACGGCUAACUACGUG
rnacentral:rRNA from 1 species